rnacentral:rRNA from 1 species
GAUGAACGCUGGCGGCGUGCCUAAUACAUGCAAGUCGAGCGAACAGACGAGGAGCUUGCUCCUCUGACGUUAGCGGCGGAAGGGUGAGUAACACGUGGAUAACCUACCUAUAAGACUGGGAUAACUUCGGGAAACCGGAGCUAAUACCGGAUAAUAUAUUGAACCGCAUGGUUCAAUAGUGAAAGACGGUUUUGCUGUCACUUAUAGAUGGAUCCGCGCCGCAUUAGCUAGUUGGUAAGGUAACGGAUUACCAAGGCAACGAUGCGUAGCCGACCUGAGAGGGUGAUCGGCCACACUGGAACUGAGACACGGUCCAGACUCCUACGGGAGGCAGCAGUAGGGAAUCUUCCGCAAUGGGCGAAAGCCUGACGGAGCAACGCCGCGUGAGUGAUGAAGGUCUUCGGAUCGUAAAACUCUGUUAUUAGGGAAGAACAAAUGUGUAAGUAACUAUGCACGUCUUGACGGUACCUAAUCAGAAAGCCACGGCUAACUACGUG